UAAACGGCCUUUUUUAAGGCCACUUCAUCGUUAAAACUGGGGAGAAU
rfam:Larimichthys crocea isolate SSNF unplaced genomic scaffold scaffold168, whole genome shotgun sequence.